AUUGAACGCUGGCGGCAUGCUUUACACAUGCAAGUCGAACGGCAGCGCGGGCUUCUGCCUGGCGGCGAGUGGCGAACGGGUGAGUAAUGCAUCGGAACGUGCCCAGUAUUGGGGGAUAGCCCGGCGAAAGCCGGAUUAAUACCGCAUACGACCUGAGGGUGAAAGCGGGGGACCGAAAGGCCUCGCGCUAUUUGAGCGGCCGAUGUCGGAUUAGCUAGUUGGUGGGGUAAAGGCUUACCAAGGCGACGAUCCGUAGCUGGUCUGAGAGGACGACCAGCCACACUGGGACUGAGACACGGCCCAGACUCCUACGGGAGGCAGCAGUGGGGAAUUUUGGACAAUGGGGGGAACCCUGAUCCAGCCAUGCCGCGUGCGGGAAGAAGGCCUUCGGGUUGUAAACCGCUUUUGUUCGGGAAGAAAUCCUCUGGGCUAAUACCCCGGGGGGAUGACGGUACCGGAAGAAUAAGCACCGGCUAACUACGUG
rnacentral:rRNA from 1 species